AUACCAUGAUGAAGAAAUCUUCUGAGUAAUUCUUUAAAUCUUUCCCAUGCAUCAUACAAACUUUCAUCUUCAAGUUGAUGGAAAGAUGUGAUAUCGUUCCUCAAUUU
rfam:Citrus sinensis cultivar Ridge Pineapple sweet orange scaffold01756_contig_1, whole genome shotgun sequence.